CACCAGACUCCUACGGGAGGCAGCAGUGGGGAAUAUUGCACAAUGGGGGAAACCCUGAUGCAGCGACGCCGCGUGAGUGAAGAAGUAUUUCGGUAUGUAAAGCUCUAUCAGCAGGGAAGAAGUUGACGGUACCUGAGUAAGAAGCCCCGGCUAACUACGUGCCAGCAGCCGCGGUAAUACGUAGGGGGCAAGCGUUAUCCGGAUUUACUGGGUGUAAAGGGAGCGUAGACGGCAGUGCAAGUCUGAAGUGAAAGCCCCGGGCUUAACCCGGGAAUUGCUUUGGAAACUGUACGGCUGGAGUGCUGGAGAGGUAAGCGGAAUUCCUAGUGUAGCGGUGAAAUGCGUAGAUAUUAGGAGGAACACCAGUGGCGAAGGCGGCUUACUGGACUGUAACUGACGUUGAGGCUCGAAAGCGUGGGGAGCAGACAGGAUUAGAUACCCCGGUAC
rnacentral:rRNA from 1 species